GGGAGAGAAGCUAAAAAAAGAGACCUAGGACAAAAAAAAGCGGACAACCGCAGACAUAGCAGACAACCGCAGACCUAGCCCCACCUCUCACGUCUCCUUCUUCGCACCACCCAACCAGACUUGGACCCCUGAUCUCCUACGCUAAACCAGCCACCACAGUUCGCCGGAAACCUCCAUCUCACACUAGCGAGCCAUCCCUCCAAGCCACCCCAUCGUCGACCACCAUUGAAACUAACGACCCAUCACUACCGGUUAUCUUCUUCACAAAACACGCACACUCACGCUGAAAACACACACAGCAAGAGAUCCCCUGCUAAAUUUCAUCUUUUUCUACACUUCAAGGACACACCUGAAGAUUUCCAGCCAAAAAGGACCACAAAUUCUGACAACUCUUAAGAAAAGAGAAAAUUCCUACAACGCGGUUUAGUCCAAAAAAUUCCUACAAUAGUGGAGGACCAAACUCUAGCGAAAAUUAGUCGAGUAACCGAGUUCCGUCAAAAGAUCCGGUGAGUCGGUCUAGUUUGAGGUCCAGACUCAUUUACUUGUUAGUUCUCUAGCGGUUAGCUGGUCUAUAAUAGAGGGAUGUGCACGCUGGUGUGACUCCUCUUCUGUUAGUGUCAUACCUUAAAUUAGGAAUAGGCUCGGACAAGUUACAAAAUCGGAUGGCCUUUUGGUUCCCGUUUUGUCAUACAGGUGUGGAUCUACUUACCGGAGUUUGAGCAUGACAGAUAUCCCAGGACUACUGCAUUAAGGAGCUGCCUGAGGAUUUUUUUUUUUUUGAGUCUAUUGUUCAUGUUUUACUUUCUAGUGUUGUAUAGUAGUGUUCAGUCAUUUAGUUGAUGCUAGAGUCUAUCAUAGUCUAGUUAAGUUUAUCGAGUCUUUUGUUAUUAUUUCGUAUUUGGUAUUUGAAAAAUGUAUCAUAAAUCAAAAAUCCAAGAAAGAGAUAUUUUGCAUUUUA